rnacentral:rRNA from 1 species
UGGGGAAUCUUGGACAAUGGGCGCAAGCCUGAUCCAGCCAUGCCGCGUGAGUGAUGAAGGCCUUAGGGUCGUAAAGCUCUUUCGCCAGAGAUGAUAAUGACAGUAUCUGGUAAAGAAACCCCGGCUAACUCCGUGCCAGCAGCCGCGGUAAUACGGAGGGGGUUAGCGUUGUUCGGAAUUACUGGGCGUAAAGCGCGCGUAGGCGGAUUAGUCAGUUAGAGGUGAAAUCCCGGGGCUCAACCCCGGAACUGCCUUUAAUACUGCUAGUCUUGAGUUCGAGAGAGGUGAGUGGAAUUCCGAGUGUAGAGGUGAAAUUCGUAGAUAUUCGGAGGAACACCAGUGGCGAAGGCGGCUCACUGGCUCGAUACUGACGCUGAGGUGCGAAAGUGUGGGGAGCAAACAGG